GUGGAUAGGGAGGAGUGGAUAGUGGAAAAGAGAUGUGGAGAGUAGGAUGGUGGAAGGGGGAGGUGGAGGUGGCUAUGGCGGACGUGACUGGGUUGAGGUGGUGGUUGUGGUGGUGUUUGGUAUGGUUGGAAUGGUUGUAGAGGGUGUUGGUAGUGAUGGUGAACGUGACUGGCUUAUGUUAAAGGUGGUUGUGGUUGUUGGGGAUGGUGGUGGUUGUGUGACAGUGGUGGGUGCAGCGGACGCAACGAUGUUGUGGUUGUUGGGUGUGGUUGAGGAUUGCGAUGGUGGUGGUGGUGGAGGUGGUAGGUGGCGGUGGUCGUAGUCGGAGCGGGCUAAGUGGUGGUGGUGGUGGUGUAAAAAGGUGUUUAUCGGACGGAGUGGAAGUGGUGGUGGUGGCGGUGAUACGAUUAUCAGGGAUGAGAGAGAGAGAGAGAGAGAGAGAGAGAGAGAGAGAGAGUGUGUGUGUGUGUGUGUGUGUGUGUGUGUACUCCUAUAAUCAGCAAAUUGCAGUCACUCGUUCGCUGUUUCACCUCCCUGUUUCAGGCCUUCUCUCCCCUUCCCUUCCUCCUCGCUCCCUUCCUAGCCUGCCCGCCACCCUCUCCCCGCUUUUCCCUGCCUGUCCUCCCCUGCUCCUCGUGUCCCAGGUGACCCAUGAACUACCUCUAACAAUGGUGAUGAAGAACCAGAAGUGGGUUGUAGGUGACGAGAUAACUAUCCCAGGUCAUCCCGGAAGUGGCGAGGUGACCCCAUACAGCUCCACAAGGUCGUGGAGGACGCCAGACAUAGCCACGUGGUCGCCUACACUCAGCCAUCCACCUCACCUGCCCCAGACUGCUACCCGGACACCAUCCAGCCACAAGAACCCAGAUAAGCACUUCCGGGGUCCUUGGUUGUGGUUAGCUAGCUAGUUUGUUUAGGGGUCACUUGCUGUACAUAGGAACCCUCCUCGGUCUGAUGCUAUUUUUUUUCAUUUUUAUUUUUGAGGUGUAACGCUGUCCUCUACGUGAGAGUGAUAGUGUUUAUCUUUAUUUAUUUAUUUUUUUUUUUCCUGAAGACCAGCUCUGAGGUUAUCUUGGAGGUUAACGGAGAAGAGCUCUUCACACCUGUGUUUGUUGUUUUAUUUUAUUUUUUUAUUGGUCACUUUUUGUUUUUUGUUGUGAUUGUUAUUAAUUUUAUUUAUUUGUAUUGAAAUAUGUGAGUGUGAAUGCAGCACAAUAUAUAAAGGUGUGCAUUCCAGAGUGAAAGGAAGGCGUGCACAGGGUAGAGUGCACAGGAUGCAGUGCCUUGUUUUUAUCACCAGACCUUGAUUGACUGAAGCAAAUGAAAACUUUGGUGUGAGUACCUUACAAAGACACUUGACAAUACUAAUGUCACCUCACCUCGUGGUUUCACCUUAAACCUACAAACAUUGGCUGGACACAAGGUCAUAGAAAUAAUUUAUUCUCAUUUAUUCUCAUCUUUACAAAUUACAGUCUUUACACAUCAAAGUAACUAAUCACCUUUAUUCAUCCACUUGAGGGGGUUGAAGGAUCGCUAAUCCCAUAUUAAAUUGCCUGUGUUCAACUCGCCUCUCCUCCCUCAUUUAUUGACCAAUUCAUUUAAAAAAUAUUUUGAUCAGGAAGGUUGCAAGAAGGAUGUCUGCUAUCUUUUUUUUUUUUUUUGUACGAUAAGUUUUUUUUUUCAAUGAAAAAGUAAAAAAAAAACUGUCAAAUAUUUACUUUCAAAUAUUUGUCAGAAAUCAAAAUCAGUUACAAACAAAAAUGACGACAGCAGAAUUUGUUCGCCUCUCACAGCUUGAUAAGCCGCAAUGGCCCAUCUGUGUGUAACACCAAUAACAACGGAGAUCAUUUUUAUAUGCCAAAAUCCGCCAUUUUAAGUUAUGUCAAAGUUUAAGGGAUGACUAUAAUACACCUAUUGCAGCUAAGGACUUGAAAUUCACAUGAUAUAUACAUCACAAUAUGUUGAAAAACAGAUAUAGAUUAAUUUAGUUACUACGAUCGGUUUUGUACAUAGGCCUAAAGUAAUUCAUGAUUUCACCCUUAAUUACCCGGGGGGGAGGGGGGAAGGCGGGUGAAAACAAUUUUUGUUAUAUUUCGACUUUUAGAUCAAAACCAGUGUUUAACUGUUUGAAAUAAAUAAAAUAUUAAUGCAAAAGAUAUCUAAUGCAGACACAUUGACUAUUUCCUAGAUUUACGGAAAAAUAUUUAUCUCAUUUUUCGUAUAUAAAUUUGAAAAAAAUAGUUAGACCUAAAAUCACGUACUCUCUAAUGUUGUCCGCAGCAAAAGAACCAUAGAUAUUCAUAGGAGACUGAGGAAGAACGGGUACGCCAGAAAGAAAAAAAAAAAAAAAGUCAUGUCUCGCAGCGGGCGAAACCGUGAAAUUUCAUAACAGAA